ACAGAAGACCCGUCAAAGCGCCCAAAGCAAUUUGUCCCUUCUUUUCUUCGCCAGCGGUGGCUCACGGAUCCCUAAGGGACAGCUGGGGACCCAGGCGCCCCCAGCCCAGCCCCAGAAACGCUGGACGCAGUUCUCCGCUCACCCCACCACCUUCUCUUCCCAGACCCGCUGGUGAUGCCGCUGCACCCUGAAGUUGCUCCUUCCUUCUUUCCCUCCCUUCCUCCCAUUCUUUCUUUCUUUUCUUCCUUCCUCCCUUCCCCAAAAGCUCUUCAUCCGCUUCGGGUGAUGCCACUGACGCACAUUCAAUUUGCCCCAGCAGCUCUGAGGAGGUCAGACCAGGCCGAGCACCUUCCAAAGGGGAGGGUCUAACUGAGCAAACAAAGUUGCACGCCACACCACAACCUGCCCCUCCCCUCCCUUUAGCCCCCAAGUCGAAUCCCCGGCGAAACUCACUUGCACUGCGGGUGCUCUCUGGCCCCCACCCCAUCAUCGCGCAACACACCCCCUUCAACAUGCGCGGCCACCCUUUCAUUGCCCUGCGCCCCGAGCGGUCCCACCGCCCGGCAAAACACUGAGCAAGCCGCUGCUCUCACCUUGCUUGACACACUUGAGCCGGAGGGGGUCCUUGCAGUGUUUGAUCACGGCCAGCACGUCCCUGAUGGUGAGCCCCGCCACGGGGGUCUCGUUCACCUCCAGCAGCAGCUCCUCCGACACCAAUUUGCUGCCGCUCUCAUAGGCCACCUUGCCGGGCUUCACCUCCCCCAGCAGAGGAAGCAGUGGUGGUGGCGUCGGCGGCGGCGGCGGCGGCAGCCGGAGCGAGCAGUAGCCGAGCUGGUGAGCGGGUGUGGUGGGGGUGGGGAAGGAGGGUAGGGAUGCCGGGGGCCACUCCUGCGUGGUGCGAGUGGGAACGCGCGCGCGCGCCUGGGUGUGUGUUGUUAGCUGAUAUCCAUGGCAGCUGCAGUGGCAGGGUGCGUGUGCGUGUGUGUGUGUGUGUGUGUGUGUACUAGUUCUACUGUACUGGCAGACGGGAGGAGGCAGGGGAGGAGGGGCGCGCGCGCCGGGUGGGGAGCCACGGAGGGCUUCGCCGCUGCCUCCCUCCCUCCCUCCGCAGCUUGACCCGGUAGUGAAGGCAGAGAGAGAGGCAGGCUGGGUCCGCCUGGCAGCCUACGGGAGGAGGCGGGAGCCGGGAAGGAGGGGAGCCUAGGCCCGGCGUGGGGAGGCCGGCAGGAAGGGCCUCGAGCCCAGUGCGGACCUUUCUUCAGCCUCUGUGCGACCGAGCCGCGCGCCAGGCUCCUGUGCGAGGAGGACGCGCUGACUCCCUCCGACCUGGGCUCCGAUGGAGCAGAAAUAGCGGGACCUGGACUUGUGGCGCGCCUGGUGCCACAUCUCGGGCUCUGCGAGCGUCCUGGCGCGGGAUCCUGCCGUUUGCAUCCAAGAGAGGGGAGGACAGGGGCAAAAGGAUGCAGGGAGGCUGCUGAUUUCCACUGAAGAGCUAAUUUCCUGUGAGACAUUAACAGUGAUUUAAGAAAAAGAUUCCUGUAACUGUAAUGUCUUACAAUAACAGAAUGCAGGAGAGCACAUAUCAAUGAAGAAAAGACAAAAUGUACUUAUCCAUGAAGCUGAGGUUAAGAAACCAGUGUCUUCAAGAGCCAGGGACAGCACUGGGUCUGUGCAGAGUUGAGAGAUGGUGAUGACAUGUGACAGAGCUCCUUGCUGCUCAAAUUUUAUGCCAGAUAAAAUAUUCACCUUCUCGGACUCCCUGGCACCAGGCAUGGCCAUGUAAUCCUACAGCACAGCUGAUGAAAGAGAAGACAUCUUGCUGCUAUUUGACAAGCAAGAAGAUAAAAGCUUUCCUAUAAAGAUGAUGGAGCAAAAAAAUAGAAGGGGCCUAGACUCCCUACCUUCACACUUCCUGCUAUAAAAGCAUUGCUAUUAUAAGGUUAAUCUGCAGAAACAGACUUCUAUGUCAUAUGCUUAAAUGCAUCAAAAUUCAUACAAUAUCCAUUAAAUUGGUAAAAGUAUCCAUUUUAAAGGAUUAAUCUGAGGGACCCACAGACACUUAACACAAUCAAAUCUCAGAAAAAAAAUCAGUUAUUUCAUUGUGAUUUUGAGGCUGAUCUUUUAUGAUCUUUUAGUUAUCAAACUGUUAAAUACAUUUUAACUUUCAAAUUUUAUGAAUAAAGGAGAUGAAUCCUGUUAUUUUCUCAGUGUGAGUGUGAUGAUGUGUGUCAUAUGUGCCUAUGUAUGCACACACAUGUACUCAAGGAGCCUGAAAGGGACCAUGACUUUCUGGGCACUCAAUGCUACUUAUCUCUAACUCCUCCUUCAAAUGUCCCCAUUCUAAGUCUACUUCCUUAGGGAAUAGGUACAAAUAUAUCCCAU
rnacentral:lncRNA from 1 species